rnacentral:rRNA from 1 species
GACGAACGCUGGCGGCGUGCUUAACACAUGCAAGUCGAGCGGUAAGGCCCUUUCGGGGGUACACGAGCGGCGAACGGGUGAGUAACACGUGGGUGACCUGCCCUCAGCUCUGGGAUAAGCCUGGGAAACCGGGUCUAAUACUGGAUAUGACUCCAUGACGCAUGUUGUGGGGUGAAAGCCUUGUGCGGCUGAGGAUGGGCCCGCGGCCUAUCAGCUUGUUGGUGGGGUGAUGGCCUACCAAGGCGACGACGGGUAGCCGGCCUGAGAGGGCGACCGGCCACACUGGGACUGAGACACGGCCCAGACUCCUACGGGAGGCAGCAGUGGGGAAUCUUGCGCAAGUGGGCGAAAGCCUGACGCAGCGACGCCGCGU